GCAAAUCCCAGAAAACUGAUCUCAGUUCGGAUUGCAGGCUGCAACCCGCCUGCAUGAAGUCGGAAUCGCUAGUAAUCGCGGGUCAGCAUACCGCGGUGAAUACGUUCCCGGGCCUUGUACACACCGCCCGUCACACCACGAAAGUUGGUAACACCCGAAGCCGGUGGCCUAACCCUUAGGGGGAGGGAGCUGUCGAAGGUGGGACUGAUGAUUGGGGUGAAGUCGUAACAAGGUACC
rnacentral:rRNA from 1 species